UCGAGAAUCAUUCACAAUGGGGGAAACCCUGAUGGUGCGACGCCGCGUGGGGGAAUGAAGGUCUUCGGAUUGUAAACCCCUGUCAUGUGGGAGCAAAUUAAAAAGAUAGUACCACAAGAGGAAGAGACGGCUAACUCUGUGCCAGCAGCCGCGGUAAUACAGAGGUCUCAAGCGUUGUUCGGAAUCACUGGGCGUAAAGCGUGCGUAGGCGGUUUCGUAAGUCGUGUGUGAAAGGCGGGGGCUCAACCCCCGGACUGCACAUGAUACUGCGAGACUAGAGUAAUGGAGGGGGAACCGGGAUUCUCGGUGUAGCAGUGAAAUGCGUAGAUAUCGAGAGGAACACUCGUGGCGAAGGCGGGUUCCUGGACAUUAACUGACGCUGAGGCACGAAGGCCAGGGGAGCGAAAGGG
rnacentral:rRNA from 1 species